rnacentral:misc_RNA from 1 species
AACGCACGAGACCUGCGGACCUGCGGAGGGAUCAUUACCACACCAAAAUCCAUCCAUCUUCGUGAACUGUUUCUGUGCCAUGUGGAGAGAUAAAAUCUUACAUCUAGCGAUACAUUGUGGGAAAAGGAGAAAAAAGAAGUGAAGGAAAGCCGCCAGGUUUUCUUUUCUACUAUUUUCCCCCUUGUCUCAACUUGGUCGUAGAUGUUUAUUUUGUUUUCUUCGCAGAUUUUAUACAAUUUG